CAGGGACUCCGGCUUUUCCCCAUAUCCCCGGACCAGAGCCGGCGCACAGCACUCGGGCUGGGGCUGCGCUGGGCCAGGAGGCGACGCGUCCCCCCGCGGGACCGGUAGGACGCACGUGGCCUCCCUGAGCUGUGAGGUGGACUAGCUCUGACGAGUGUCCCCACUGGAGACCAGCUGCCCCUGAUGCUUCUUCCCGGGGCCUCCUGCUCCGCCUCCCACCGGUCACCUCCACCAGCAGCCCGGCCACAAACCUGCAUGGCACACUGGUCCUCUCUGCGGCUGGGCGUGCUCUGCAAGGCACCAGCGUCUGGCUGUUUGAGUCUUACAGUUUUGAGGGCCUCUUGUCCAGAAGUGAACCCUUGUGUCUGCCUGUGCACCAGGCACAGGAGACACAGAAGAGAUUCACAGAAAGAAUCGCUCAGCUUUGGCGGCAACAAGUCCCACCAUCUGCCCUGCACAAGCUGCAGUCCCAGGACAGCCUGAGACACAUCCAGAAGUAACAGCACCCCACGGGCAAGGCCAAUCCACAUGAUGUGUAAAACAAGCCAUCUCCAGUCUACCCAAGCUGGUCUCCCGGAGCCAUGCUUAAUCUCAAGCUAAGGACAAUAACCAGGUUAAAAUUCUGCCAAACUUCACACACCUCUUGUGCACAAGGAGGUAGAGUCCUUGAGUGAUCUUAACGCCUCCCCUUGAUGGGCCAUCACUUAAAGCCACGGUGUCCAGUGGACAAUGCUUAAUACAAUGAUAUGAAGUUAACACAUCUUAUGUUACACAGUAAGGGAACAAGAGAGGAAAGAAAAGAAGCACACAUAUUGUAUUGGGAACAAAACAGGAAUAAAUGUGCAUGACGAUUAGUCGCAUUCAGUUCCCAGUUGUGUGCACAAAACUACUUCCUUCCAUUACCUUUGCAGUGCCCUCUGCCUCCAGAGCAGCUCACUGGUCCUGGCGACGUGACCCAGGUCUCCCUCCCUGGGGACUCUCCAGCCCCUGGCCCUUGCCCGAGGUGAUCUGGAUGAGUCCCCCGCCAGCGUGGCCAUGCUCUGCUUUGCUGCUGAGUCAGAAAUGGGAGGGGACCAGGUGCCCAGGCGGCUGUCUUCCAUUCUGGUUUAAUGGAUCUUGGCACUGUCUCUUGGCAGAAACAUUCCUUCCCAUGUUACAAAGAUUCCUAGGCCAGCAAGGCAUAAAGCCUUGAGAACAGGAAACAGAAAUUCCAUCAGCAGGUCACUGCAUGGGGUGCUGAGUUGGGCCGCUUGCAUCCCUACCCCUUGAAUCCUGGACCCUGGACGCUGGCUUUGGGAGAAACAGCACCUGUGCUGGACCCGAUUCAGGGCACACACAGCCCUCAGGAGUGUGCGGCCCAGCUUGCAAGGUGUCAUCCCUCACUGGGGCCGUAGCUAAGUCUUGAAAAGCCCAUUCCACCCUUCUGUCAAGCCCGUGGCUUCAAGAUGAUGGGGAGCAUGAAGUAUUAAGUUUUAUGUUAUAUUUAUUUUUGUCAUAAUAAAAUGCUAUGAAUGGCCAACACAGGACCCACUGGGGCCAGGGACAGGGAGCCCUGGCCAUCUCGAAGAGCUUUUCAGCAUCAUGCAGUGAUGUUAAGAAAAUGCAUGGUUCAUGCAGAAAUUCCACUCCCGUGCAUGUGCCCUGAGGAAAUUUUUUCGAUGUGCUUAGAAACUCCUGUGGGAAUGUCCAGAAAAGCCCUGUGUCUGCUCGAAACACCUCCACACGACUAACAUAAAACUUAUGUCCAGGGGCCAGGAUUUAGCUCAGUGGUUUCCCCACCUGCUGCGCAAGCGCAAGGACCCAAGUUCAAUCCCCAGAACCAAAAAAAGAAAAAAAAAAACUUAUGUCCAAAGUAAAAAUUAUCCUGGGGCACGAGGAUCGCUGUGAGUUCGAAGCCAGCAUGAGUUACACAGUGAGUUCAAGGCCAGCCUGGAUUGCAUAGCGAGACUCUCUCUCUCAAAAAAC
ensembl:lncRNA